GGGAAAAAACCACCCCACUCCUCUUUCUCUCUCUUCUUCGUCUUCUACUCUUCUCUCAGCCCGCACCACUCUCUCACUUCUCAACCUCGAAAGUUCUAGAUCUACUCCCAUGCUCUAAGAUUCCGCCCCAAUUUCAAGUGGAGCAAACUAUUGACGAAAUUCAAAGACGUUGAGAUAGCUUGAGAGGGUGCUGGAAAUUGCAGGCCAUUGCUGCCUCUGGAGCUGUUAAACACAAGGAUAUUGAAGCUCUUGUGGAAAAACAUUUUAAAAGUUGUCAACAGAUCCAAAUGUUUUCGCCUCGAUGGUUAUGCGGACAAUCAAAAUGGGGUUCCUGGACCAAAAUUGAUGGUGGCGGAAUGUGUAUGGGUUUAAAGCUGGGGAUGUGCGUGUGUUGGCUAGUGCUUCCUUCAUUUUAGUAAAUAAGGAGUGGUCUUCUGAAAUACGGCUGCAUGCAUUCAAAAUGCUUCAGGUGGAUAAAAAGCACAGUGUGAGUCAAGGAUGAUAGAGCAUUUUGUGAAGAUCGUUCAACGUGAUAAGGAGAAACAUGAAUGAAGGCCGGGACACUCGAGCUUCAUCAUAUAACCUACUAUCACAGUUAGAUCCUAGUUUUCUAGGCUUUAUUACUUCUUCGGUUUAGUAACAUAGAUAUAAUUUAGGAGGUUUGAUGUCUGGACUAUUUAGUUAGUAACAUUUUUGUACUAUGGAAUUUGGUUAGUGCAAUGGAUUUUGGUUAAUUAGUAACAUUAUCGUGUAUGAUGGAUUUUAACUAUGUACUUUUAUAUUUUUAUAAGUUAAUUUUAAUGUUACGUUGAUCGAAGA